UACGGAGGAUGCGAGCGUUAUCCGGAAUUACUGGGUGUAAAGGGAGCGUAGACGGCUGUGCAAGUCUGGAGUGAAAGGCGGGGGCCCAACCCCCGGACUGCUCUGGAAACUGUAUAGCUGGAGUGCAGGAGAGGUAAGUGGAAUUCCUAGUGUAGCGGUGAAAUGCGUAGAUAUUAGGAGGAACACCAGUGGCGAAGGCGGCCUGCUGGACGGUGACUGACGCUGAAGCACGAAAGCGUGGGUAUCGAACAGG
rnacentral:rRNA from 1 species